AGUGAACGCUGGCGGUAGGCCUAACACAUGCAAGUCGAACGGCAGCACAGUAAGAGCUUGCUCUUACGGGUGUCGAGUGGCGUACGGUUGAGGUAUACAUCGGAUUCUACUUUUUCUUGGGUGCUAACGUAGGGAAACUUACGCUAAUACCGCAUACGACCUACGUGUGUAAGCAGGGGUUCUUCUUACCUUUCGCUAUUGUAUGAGCCUAUGUCGGAUUAGCUAGUUGGCGGGGUAAAGGCCCACCAAGGCGACGAUCCGUAGCUGGUCUGAGAGGAUGAUCAGCAAGACUGGAAAUGAGAAACGGUACAGACUCCUACGGGAGGAAGCAGUGGGGAAUAUUGGAAAAUGGGGGAAAGGCUGAUACAGCAAUACCGAGUGGGUGAAGAAGGCGUUAGGGUUGUAAAGCGCUUUUGUUGGGAAAGAAAAGAAGCAGGUUAAUACCACGCUGUAACGACGGUACCAAAAGAAUAAGCACCGGCUAACUUCGUG
rnacentral:rRNA from 1 species